GAUGAACGCUGGCGGCGUGCCUAAUACAUGCAAGUCGAGCGAACAGACGAGGAGCUUGCUCCUCUGACGUUAGCGGCGGACGGGUGAGUAACACGUGGAUAACCUACCUAUAAGACUGGGAUAACUUCGGGAAACCGGAGCUAAUACCGGAUAAUAUAUUGAACCGCAUGGUUCAAUAGUGAAAGACGGUUUUGCUGUCACUUAUAGAUGGAUCAGCGCCGCAUUAGCUAGUUGGUAAGGUAACGGCUUACCAAGGCGACGAUGCGUAGCCGACCUGAGAGGGUGAUCGGCCACACUGGAACUAAGACACGUCCCAGACUCCUACGGGAGGCAGCAGUAGGGAAUCUUCCGCAAUGGGCGAGAGCCUGACGGAGCAACGCCGCGUGAGUGAUGAAGGUCUUCGGAUCGUAAAACUCUGUUAUUAGGGAAGAACAAAUGUGUAAGUAACUAUGCACGUCUUGACGGUACCUAAUCAGAAAGCCACGGCUAACUACGUG
rnacentral:rRNA from 1 species